CCUACGGGUGGCUGCAGUGGGGAAUAUUGGACAAUGGGCGAAAGCCUGAUCCAGCCAUGCCGCGUGUGUGAAGAAGGCCUUCGGGUUGUAAAGCGCUUUCAGUGGGGAAGAAAGCCUUGGGGCUAAUACCCUCGAGGAAGGACAUCACCCACAGAAGAAGCACCGGCUAACUCCGUGCCAGCAGCCGCGGUAAUACGGAGGGUGCGAGCGUUAAUCGGAAUUACUGGGCGUAAAGCGCGCGUAGGCGGUCUGAUAAGCCGGUUGUGAAAGCCCCGGGCUCAACCUGGGAACGGCAUCCGGAACUGUCAGGCUAGAGUGCAGGAGAGGAAGGUAGAAUUCCCGGUGUAGCGGUGAAAUGCGUAGAGAUCGGGAGGAAUACCAGUGGCGAAGGCGGCCUUCUGGACUGACACUGACGCUGAGGUGCGAAAGCGUGGGUAGCAAACAGGAUUAGAUACCCCGGUAGUC
rnacentral:rRNA from 1 species